GAUCUUUCCCUUCAGUGAUUCUCUGAGCUAUGUGGACUAUGCAGAUCUUGUUUAGGAGUAUCUUCAAUUUUCUGGACCCUGUUACCUUCAGUCUGAUGAAGUCUGCAGUAUCUGGACAUCCUUUAUGCCACUUCUGCCCAGUUCUUCUUGGCAGUGACUGUGGCCUGCUGACCUAUACCAUGCAACUCUCCAUUGCCCUGUUCUCUCCCCCUCCAACCUUCUCCCACAGAAACUAGAAAUAGAAUGAAUAAAGUAGACAACAGAAAGCCAUUGAAUAUUACUGAGCAGUGAAGAACAUCUCAAAGAAGCUUAACCUGGCAGUUCUAUGGAGCAGGGAUUAGAGGAAGGAGAGAAGAAAGUGGGAAGAUGUUACAAGACUAUUGCAGUAGACCAAGAUGGUGAUGAGGAGGAUAUGUUCUAGCAUACAAGAUAGCAGGAACAGAGAGUGGAUCAUGAUUAGAAGAACACAUCUUCAAUCAAGACUGGAAGAUGGCGAAUGGCAUGCGGACCAGAAGAAGGACCAGAGAGAAAGAAAGAGUUUCUACAAGCAACAUGAAUGGACAUGGAAGGAAUUUGGAACUUUGAAAUCUUGGAACUUUUGGCCAUGUGGAUAUGUAAGGAUGUUUCAUACAUGUGAACAUCACAUAUAUAUGCAUGCACAUCCUACAUAGCAAAGUAAGAUAUCUCAUGGAAUGGGUAAGUAUACGCCAUGCAUAGUUGCAAAACAAAUAGACACACUGACAAAAUUUCUGUGGAAAAUUCAAACAGCUAAAGAUACUUCUUUUCUGCAUGAGUUUGCACAGAAAUUUAGAGUGAUGUACAUGUUUAAACUUGUAUGGAUCCUAUGUACAUAUGUAAGUACUAAUAACUAACAUGCUAACUAUAUUAGAGUAGUUUAUUAAUAUAUUCUAAGACACUGUCUUUGUUCAGGUCUUAGAAAGUAGAGACAUAGACGUUCUGAAGUAUAGAAGUUAGAUUGUAUCAUAAUGGUAGAUUAGCAUUUGUUAGUAUUAGAAGAUUUACUUAGUGACUAUAUAGACAUUAGGAUAAGACGUUUGCAUGUUCAAUAUGUUAUUGACAUUGUUGAGAUGAUUUGAACGUUGUUACUUGAGUUGUUGUGAUGUGAAACUAUGUUCAUGUAAAUCCCUUACCUAAAUCAUUUUCCUAUCCCACUCUUAGCUUAGCAUUUAGGUAGUUAGAAUAGCUAAGAUGAGUUAGGAUUUUGUUAUUUUGGGGGGAUAAGGGUAUACUUAUAACAGAGCAGAGUUAACAUAGAUAGAUAGGAUUAUUAUUAAGGUAAGUAUCAUUGAAAAAUGCAAGUUGAAUUUUUUUUUCCAAUAAAAGGAGGGAUUGUGGGAGAGACUUGAAGAAA
rnacentral:lncRNA from 1 species